GGGAUAUUGCGCAAUGGGGGAAACCCUGACGCAGCAACGCCGCGUGGAGGAUGACGGUUUUCGGAUUGUAAACUCCUUUUGUCAGGGACGAAAUAUGACGGUACCUGACGAAUAAGCUCCGGCUAACUACGUGCCAGCAGCCGCGGUAAUACGUAGGGAGCAAGCGUUAUCCGGAUUUACUGGGUGUAAAGGGUGCGUAGGCGGCUCUGCAAGUCAGAUGUGAAAUUUAGAGGCUCAACUUCUAAACUGCAUUUGAAGCUGUGGAGCUUGAGUGAAGUAGAGGCAGGCGGAAUUCCCUGUUUAGCGGUGAAAUGCGUAGAGAUAGGGAGGAACACCAGUGGCGAAGGCGGCCUGCUGGGCUUUAACUGACGCUGAGGCACGAAAGCGUGGGUAGCAAACA
rnacentral:rRNA from 1 species